rnacentral:rRNA from 1 species
CGUCAGAUUGAACGCUGGCGGCAGGCCUAACACAUGCAAGUCGAGCGGUAACAGAGAGUAGCUUGCUACUUUGCUGACGAGCGGCGGACGGGUGAGUAAUGCUUGGGAACAUGCCUUGAGGUGGGGGACAACAGUUGGAAACGACUGCUAAUACCGCAUAAUGUCUACGGACCAAAGGGGGCUUCGGCUCUCGCCUUUAGAUUGGCCCAAGUGGGAUUAGCUAGUUGGUGAGGUAAUGGCUCACCAAGGCGACGAUCCCUAGCUGGUUUGAGAGGAUGAUCAGCCACACUGGGACUGAGACACGGCCCAGACUCCUACGGGAGGCAGCAGUGGGGAAUAUUGCACAAUGGGCGCAAGCCUGAUGCAGCCAUGCCGCGUGUGUGAAGAAGGCCGUUCGGGUUAGUAAAGCACUUUCAGUCAGGAGGAAAGGUUAACGGUUAAUACCCGUUAGCUGUGACGUUACUGACAGAAGAAGCACCGGCUAACUCCGUGCCAGCAGCCGCGGUAA